AGUUCCUUGAGACGUCCGAGAAGCCCUCUGAGGAGCCAGAAGAGAUGGAAGAAGCAGAGGCUGAGGAUCUGUUGGCGAUGAUGUGAGAUUGUGCCAGUUCGUAUUCUCGACACAGACAGCCCAGCUGACUGCAAGUUCUUCUGCACAAUACUGGAACAUUCCUUGCAAUUGAUAGGUUAGGGGCGGGUACCGGUCUAAACCGGAACGACAUUCGGGAACCAAGUCUA